ensembl:snoRNA
UGCUCCUCUCUUUAGAAGGUUAUAAAAAAUGUUACAUUAUUCCUUACAGACAGGUGCAAAGAGUAAAUACUCUAUUGCAACCCAGAACUCUUUGCUGAUAUGAGAUUUUGGUACAUGUAAGAAGGAAGAUG